GCGNCAGGCCUAACACAUGCAAGUCGAGCGGCAGCGGGAAAGUAGCUUGCUACUUUUGCCGGCGAGCGGCGGACGGGUGAGUAAUGCCUGGGAAAUUGCCCAGUCGAGGGGGAUAACAGUUGGAAACGACUGCUAAUACCGCAUACGCCCUACGGGGGAAAGCAGGGGACCUUCCGGCCUUGCGCGAUUGGAUAUGCCCAGGUGGGAUUAGCUAGUUGGUGAGGUAAUGGCUCACCAAGGCGACGAUCCCUAGCUGGUCUGAGAGGAUGAUCAGCCACACUGGAACUGACACACCGCCCACACUCCUACGGGAGGCAGCAGUGGGGAAUAUUGCACAAUGGGGGAAACCCUGAUGCAGCCAUGCCGCGUGUGUGAAGAAGGCCUUCGGGUUGUAAAGCACUUUCAGCNAGGAGGAAAGGUCANUANCUAAUAUCUGCUGNCUGUGACGUUACUCACAAAAGAANCACCGGCUAACUCCGUGCCAGC
rnacentral:rRNA from 1 species